rnacentral:rRNA from 1 species
AGUCGUAACAAGGUUUCCGUAGGUGAACCUGCGGAAGGAUCAUUAGUGAACGCCUCCGGGCUUAUCCAACCAACCCCUGUGAACUGUGGCCUCCGGGUCUUUACAAACAUCAGCGUCCUGAACGUCACAACCUAUAAACAAACAAUACUUUCAACAACGGAUCUCUUGGCUCUCGCAUCGAUGAAGAACGCAGCGAAAUGCGAUAAGUAAUGUGAAUUGCAGAAUUCAGUGAAUCAUCGAAUCUUUGAACGCACCUUGCGCCCUCUGGUAUUCCGGAGGGCAUGCCUGUUUGAGUGUCAUGUAGACUCAACCCCCUCGGGUUUCCGAUCGGGUUGGACUUGGACGUUGCCGAUCGAGGCUCGCCUUAAAUGUGUUAGCGGAGGAGACGACCGAGCCUGGCGUGAUAAGUUUCGCCGGUACUAGGACUGUCGAGCCCGCUCCUAGCCGCCCUCGGGCACCUUUUGACUCUGACCUCAAAUCAGGUAGGACUACCCGCUGAACUUAAGCAUAUCAAUAAGCGGAGGAAAAGAAACUAACAAGGAUUCCCCCAGUAGCGGCGAGCGAAGCGGGAAGAGCUCAAAUUUGUAAUCUGGCGCAAGCCCGAGUUGUAAUCUAUAGAAGCGUUUUCUGCUCCGGACCGCGUCCAAGUCCCCUGGAAUGGGGUAUCAAAGAGGGUGACAAUCCCGUGCUUGACGUGACGACCGGGCUGUGUGAUACGUUCUCUACGAGUCGAGUUGUUUGGGAAUGCAGCUCAAAACGGGUGGUAAAUUCCAUCUAAGGCUAAAUAUUGGCGAGAGACCGAUAGCGAACAAGUACCGUGAGGGAAAGAUGAAAAGCACUUUGGAAAGAGAGUUAAACAGUAUGUGAAAUUGUUGAAAGGGAAACGAUUGAAGUCAGUCGUGGCCGUGGGAUUCAGCCGGUUCUGCCGGUGUACUUCCCUCGGCCGGGUCAACAUCAGUUUUGGUCGGCGGACAAUGGCGAGGGGAAGGUAGCACCUCCGGGUGUGUUAUAGCCCCUUGUCGCAUACGUCGGCGGAGACUGAGGAAUGCAGCUCGCCUCUAUGGCCGGGGUUCGCCCACGUCCGAGCUCAGGAUGUUGACAUAAUGGCUUUAAACGACC